AAGACACUCUUGUUUCGCUCCUUGACAACCCUGGCGGGGGUGCGCUGGCUGCGGCCCCGGCUCCGGCCCCCGCGGGAGCAGAGCGCCGCCAAGAUGAUCAAAGAGACAAUGGACAAGAAGUUCGGCUCCUCCUGGCACGUGGUGAUCGGCGAGGGCUUUGGGUUUGAGAUCACCCACGAGGUGAAGAACCUCCUCUACCUGUACUUCGGGGGCACCCUGGCUGUGUGCGUCUGGAAGUGCUCCUGACACUCUGUCCCCUGCCCCGUCCCCUGCAGGGCCUUUUCCUGCCACUCCUCUGGGGUGGGGAGCAGCCCUAGGUGGGUCCUGGUUUUUCCAAGGAGAGUUGGGGUCUUUUCUUUUUGUCUUUGUGUACCAGUUUCCUGAGCCACGCCCAGUGUGUGAACUUGACAUCUCCAUCCCCUGGCUCUCAGCCGUCUCCCUCGGAGUCUCAGGGUGUGGACGGGGCAGCAGGCAUGGGUCUGUGUGGGAAACGUGGGGUGGGGCGGUGUGACAGGGUAGAGGAGGUGGGAGAUGAGAUUUUCCGCACAGGAACGCGCCAGUCCCCCUUUCUCGAGGGCUGCUCUCCCCUUGCAUCCUGGGAGCCCCACUGCCCUGCCAUCCCCAGUACUGCCGGGAAGUGUCGGCCGUCCUUAUCAUUAGUGGCCAUAUGAAAAUGGCCCCAAGAAGGAGACGAUUCUUUCAAGGGACACAGGCGGCUUCUCUCCUUGUCCUCUGGGGAGGUGCUGACCCCGCAGAAACCCCCUCCCCCAACUUGACCCCAGGCUGAACAGACCACUGCAUCUCCCUGGGCCAGCAGCCCCCCAACCCCCAGCCUUGGUAG
rnacentral:sRNA from 1 species